rnacentral:rRNA from 1 species
AGAGUUUGAUCCUGGCUCAGGACGAACGCUGGCGGCGUGCCUAAUACAUGCAAGUCGAACGCACUGACAGAGAAACUUGUUUCUCUAGACGUGAGUGGCGCACGGGUGAGUAACACGUAGGAAACCUACCCUUCAGCGGGGGAUAACCGUCGGAAACGAUGGCUAAUACCGCAUAGGUCUUUUAACCGCCUGGUUGAAAGAGGAAAGACGGCUUCGGCUGUCACUGAAGGAUGGUCCCGCGGUGCAUUAGCUAGUUGGUAAGGUAACGGCUUACCAAGGCGAUGAUGCAUAGCCGACCUGAGAGGGUGAUCGGCCACAUUGGGACUGAGACACGGCCCAAACUCCUACGGGAGGCAGCAGUAGGGAAUCUUCCGCAAUGGACGCAAGUCUGACGGAGCAACGCCGCGUGUGUGAAGAAGGUCUUCGGAUCGUAAAGCACUGUUAUUAGAGAAGAACAACCGGUAGAGUAACUGUUACCGGCUUGACGGUAUCUACAGAAAGGCCAGGCUAACUACGUGCAGCAGCGCGGUAAUACGUAAGGUGGCAAGCGUUGUCGGAUUUAUUGGGCGUAAAGGGAGCGCAAGGCGGUGACUUAAGUCUGAUUGGAAAGCCCACGGCUCAACCGUGGAAAGGUCAUUGGAAACUGGGUCACUUGAGUGCAGAAGAGGAAAGUGGAAUUUCAUGUGUAGCGGGUGAAAUGCGUAGAUAUAUGGAGGAACACCAGUGGCGAAGGCGACUUUCUGGUCUGUAACUGACGCUGAGGCUCGAAAGCGUGGGGAGCAAACAGGAUUAGAUACCUGGUAGUCCACGCGUAAACGAUGAGUGCUAAGUGUUGGAGGGUUUCCACCCUUCAGUGCUGGAGUUAACGCAAUAAGCACUCCGCCUGGGGAGUACGGUCGCAAGACUGAAACUCAAAGGAAUUGACGGGGACCCGCACAAGCGGAGGAACAUGUGGUUUAAUUCGAUGAUACGCGAGGAACCUUACCAGGGCUUGACAUGCCGCUGACCGGUCUAGAGAUAGACCUUUACCCUUCGGGGUACAGCGGACACAGGUGCUGCAUGGCUGUCGUCAGCUCGUGUCGUGAGAUGUUGGGUUAAGUCCCGCAACGAGCGCAACCCUUGUCUUUAGUUGCCAUCAUUAAGUUGGGCACUCUAAAGAGACUGCCGAUGACAAAUCGGAGGAAGGUGGGGAUGACGUCAAAUCAUCAUGCCCUUUAUGUCCUGGGCUACACACGUGCUACAAUGGUCGGUACAACGAGAAGCAAGCCAGCGAUGGCAAGCAAAUCUCUAAAAGCCGAUCCCAGUUCGGAUUGCAGGCUGCAACUCGCCUGCAUGAAGUCGGAGUUGCUAGUAAUCGCGGAUCAG